rnacentral:rRNA from 1 species
GUGCCUAAUACAUGCAAGUCGAACGAAGCUUUCUUUCACCGAAUGCUUGCAUUCACCGAAAGAAGCUUAGUGGCGAACGGGUGAGUAACACGUAGGCAACCUGCCCAAAAGAGGGGGAUAACACUUGGAAACAGGUGCUAAUACCGCAUAACCAUGAACACCGCAUGAUGUUCAUGUAAAAGACGGCUUUUGCUGUCACUUUUGGAUGGGCCUGCGGCGUAUUAACUUGUUGGUGGGGUAACGGCCUACCAAGGUGAUGAUACGUAGCCGAACUGAGAGGUUGAUCGGCCACAUUGGGACUGAGACACGGCCCAAACUCCUACGGGAGGCAGCAGUAGGGGAUCUUCCACAAUGGACGAAAGUCUGAUGGAGCAACGCCGCGUGAAUGAAGAAGGCCUUCGGGUCGUAAAAUUCUGUUGUCAGAGAAGAACGUGCGUGAGAGUAACUGUUCACGUAUUGACGGUAUCUGACCAGAAAGCCACGGCUAACUACGUGCCAGCAGCCGCGGUAAUACGUAGGUGGCGAGCGUUGUCCGGAUUUAUUGGGCGUAAAGGGAACGCAGGCGGUCUUUUAAGUCUGAUGUGAAAGCCUUCGGCUUAACCGAAGUAGUGCAUUGGAAACUGGAAGACUUGAGUGCAGAAGAGGAGAGUGGAACUCCAUGUGUAGCGGUGAAAUGCGUAGAUAUAUGGAAGAACACCAGUGGCGAAAGCGGCUCUCUGGUCUGUAACUGACGCUGAGGUUCGAAAGCGUGGGUAGCAAACAGGAUUAGAUACCCUGGUAGUCCACGCCGUAAACGAUGAGUGCUAAGUGUUGGAGGGUUUCCGCCCUUCAGUGCUGCAGCUAACGCAUUAAGCACUCCGCCUGGGGAGUACGGUCGCA